UAUUGGGCGUAAAGGGUGCGUAGGCGGCGGAAUAAGUUAGUGGUGGAAAAUCGGGGCUCAACCUCGUGGAAGUCAUUAAUACUGUUUUGCUAGAGGACAGGAGAGGUUAACGGAAUUCCCUGUGGAGCGGUAAAAUGUGUAGAUAUAGGGAAGAACACCAAUAAGGCGAAGGCAGUUAACUAUUCUGUUCCUGACGUUGAGGCACGAAAGCGUGGGGAGCAAAUAGGAUUAGAUACCCUAGUAGUCCNCGCCCUAAACGAUGAGUGCUAGACAUUGGAAACGUGAUUUUCAGUGUCGCUAGAUAACUCGGUAAGCACUCCGCCUGGGUAGUACGCUCGCAAGAGUGAAACUCAAAGGAAUUGACGGGGACUCGCACAAGCACUGGAGCAUGUGGUUUAAUCCGAUGCAACGCGUAGAACCUUACCAAGGCUUGACAUGUUUGGCAAAACUGUGGAAACACAGCGGAGGUUAUCUAAACACAGGUGCUGCAUGGCCGUCGUCAGUUCGUGCCGUGAGGUGUAUGGUUAAGUCCUAUAACGAACGCAACCCUUGGGCUUAGUUGCCAGCAUUCAGUUGGGGACUCUAAGCCGACUGCCUGAGUAAUCAGGAGGAAGGAAAGGAUGACGUCU
rnacentral:rRNA from 1 species